UAAGAUGGCGGACCUGCGUUAUUCUUCGCUGGAUCGUUGAGCCAUCAGUGUCAGUCAACCUGCAGUCUGCAAAUCUCAAUCUUGUGAGUAUGGCCAUGCCCAGAGGCUGUGAGGCAGCAGCUGGGAUGGGGUUUAAGCCACUGAAAUGAUGCCUGAUGGGAGCUCCAAUCGUGGAUCCAGCCCUGUGAUGGAUACUGGCUUUCUUCUGUCUUUUAUCCCGUCUCCCUCCCUCACCACCAACUGGUCACAGCAGAUGGAUGUUCCUCCCUGACUCUUUCUGAGAUUUCCUCCCCUUAAAAGUGAGGUUUUUCCUUCCCGCUGUCACCAAAUGGUCGCUGAGAAGAAAAACAUAAACAAGAAAAAUGCAUUAAUUAACAGACUCAGUCAGAGAAAGAGAAGAUGGAUGAAGUGAGAAAAUGCAAAUCAAGCAAGGACUGUUAGACGUCACUUCCAUCUGGAGAUGCCAGUCUAGCACGUGGAUGGUCGGGUGAAUAUAUGUCACUUACCUGGGGAACACCUGGCACCAGGAUGCACUAUGGGAAGAAGUGUAAUGCUUUGGGCAAUGUUCUGCUGGGAAACACUGGAUCCACCAUCCAUGUGGAUUUUACUUCGACAUGUAACAUCUACCAAAGCAUUUUUGCAGACCAUGUACACCGUUUCAUGGAAGCGAUUUUUCCUGAUGGCUGUGUUAGUUAGCUAGUUUAACACUCAGAGGCAGUUGGGGUUUUUUACUGGCUUUAGGCAACUUAUAUGGGUCUUUCUGUGGUUAGUAGCUUAGUAUGAUGUUCUGGUUUGGGGCAAACUAAAGUGAUGUGGAAGCCUUUAGGCUGUAACCAAAAGAGAAGAUCUGUCAUUCAAAAAAUAGAAGUACUUUGUGGACUUGCUAAUGUUGGCUGUCGUGAUUUAAAAAAACAAAACAAAAACAAAAGCCAAGUGUUGCUUUUGGAAAGCUUUGUACAGUCACAGCAGCUAUCAUUAGCAACUGUGUAAUCUGCAAAUCCCUUCAUGUCGUGGGUCACAUGAUCAACCACAGGGUAUUUCCACAUUACGUAUGUUCAGGUGUAGAUGUUGUUAAGUCACCUUUGAUAGCGCUGGCAUGUCAAAUCAACUGUGGGAUACAUGCAGUGUUUUUACUUCACCUACUAUUACUGCAGACAUUCAAACUCAUUGGAUUUUUAAAGCAACCUCUGAAUUAAUGAAGGACAAAGAUAGAAGGUAAGCACAGUGAUGGUGCUCUCAGCCAUAACCCUGAUCUUACC